rnacentral:rRNA from 1 species
ACAGCGAAACUGCGAAUGGCUCAUUAUAUAAGUUCCUCUAUUAUAUUUGAUAGUGCCUUACUACUUGGAUAACCGUGGUAAUUCUAGAGCUAAUACAUGCUAAAAACCCCGACUUCGGAAGGGGUGUAUUUAUUAGAUACAAAACCAAUGCCCUUCGGGGCUCUUUGGUGAUUCAUGAUAACUAUACGAAUCGCACGGCCUUGCGCCGGCGAUGGUUCAUUCAAAUUUCUUCCCUAUCAACUUUCGAUGUUUGGGUAUUGGCCAAACAUGGUUGCAACGGGCAACGGAGGGUUAGGGCUCGACCCCGGAGAAGGAGCCUGAGAAACGGCUACUACAUCCAAGGAAGGCAGCAGGCGCGCAAAUUACCCAAUCCCGACUCGGGGAGGUAGUGACAAUAAAUACUGAUACAGGGCCCUUUCGGGCCUUGUAAUUGGAAUGAGUACAAUUUAAAUCCCUUAACGAGGAACAAUUGGAGGGCAAGUCUGGUGCCAGCAGCCGCGGUAAUUCCAGCUCCAAUAGCGUAUAU